CAAGCAGAAAGAAUUUCAGCAGGGUAGAGGCACAUCUGUACAUCAGUGACUCCCAACUGCUUUUUCUUGUAUUUUUUUUUUUUUUUUUCUUUCAGGCUAUCUCAGGACUUUUUACUUGGCAGCAGAAGGAACCUCUCAUAUAUCU